rnacentral:rRNA from 1 species
CAUUAUUGAAUAAACUUGAACAAGCUGUUUUUGCUGGCUUCUUUGGAGGCAUGUGCACGCUUGUCAUCUUUAUCUUUCCAACUUGUGCACUUAUUGUAGAUCUUGGAAGUUUGAAUUAUUUUCUAUAGAUUGAGGACUGCUGUGCUUUUACUAAAAAAAAGGUCAGCUUUGCCUUGUAUUUCGAGAUCUAUGUUUAUUACAACCUCUUAAUAUGUUAAGAAUGUUAAAAAAAGAGUUAAUUUAUACAACUUUCAGCAACGGAUCUCUUGGCUCUCGCAUCGAUGAAGAACGCAGCGAAAUGUGAUAAGUAAUGUGAAUUGCAGAAUUCAGUGAAUCAUCGAAUCUUUGAACGCAUCUUGCGCUUCUUGGUAUUCCGAGGAGCAUGCCUGUUUGAGUGUCAUUAAAUUCUCAACCAUAUUAAAUUCUUUUGAUAUGGCUUGGUUAUUGGAAGCCUGCAGGUCUUUUUUUAUAUGGGUCUGCUCUUCUAAAAUGCAUUAGUAGUAUAUACUGCUUACAGAUGUGAUAAUUAUUUACAUCUCUAUAGCAGAUCAUGCUGCUACUAACAAAAGUUGAACAUGUAUUAUAUAUUUGACCUCAAAUCAGGUAGGAGUACCCGCUGAACUUAAGCAUAUCAAUAAGCGGAGGAAAAGAAACUAACAAGGAUUCCCUUAGUAACUGCGAGUGAAGUGGGAAAAGCUCAAAUUUGAAAUCUGGCAGUUCUUGACUGUCCGAGUUGUAAUCUAGAGAAG